UUGGUCAAAAGACCAAUAAUGGUGAAAUAAAUAUCAUAAACCAAUAUGGGGCUGCAGCGUAGCCUAGUGGUUAGAUCAUUGGGCCAGUAAACGAAAGGUUGCAAGAUUGAAUCCCUGAGUUGACAAGGUAAGAAUAUGUUGUUCUGCCCCUGAACAAGGCAGUUAACACACUGUUCCCCUGAACAAGGCAGUUAACCCACUGUUCCCCUGAACAAGGCAGUUAACCCACUGUUCCCCUGAACAAGGCAGUUAACACACUGUUCCUAGACCUUCAUUGAAAAUUAGAAUUUGUUCUCAACUGACUUGCCUAGUUAAAUAAAGGUUAAAUUAUAAAAAUGGUGAAAUAAAUAUCAGAAUUGGGCUGCCUCAAACACGCACACUCACUCUGCCCAGAGUUUGUGAAAAUGUAAUUUUCUUUAUGUUACUAAAUACAUUUUACCAGGGCAAAUGGGAGUAUUCAUGAUCUGUACCAUUGUGGGGUAUUUCUCCAACAUUAGGUCAUCUGAUGACCUAUAAUACAUCUGACAAACACCAAGCUCUGUUGAUGUCCUGACCUCUGGUAAUAAACACCAAGCUCUGUUGAUGUCCUGACCUCUGGUAAUAAACACCAAGCUCUGUUGAUGUCUUGACCUCUGGUAAUAAACACCAAGCUCUGUUGAUGUCUUGACCUCUGGUAAUAAACACCAAGCUCUGUUGAUGUCCUGACCUCUGGUAAUAAACACCAAGCUCUGUUGAUGUCUUGACCUCUGGUAAUAAAC
ensembl:lncRNA